rnacentral:misc_RNA from 1 species
GUUCAGAACGCCGCAAAAUACCGCGCUGAUGCGUUUUUAUGAGGCGCGCCAGCUUAUUCUGAGCGGCGAUGCGCAGGCGCUAGGUAAAGCCAGCGAUAUUCUGAAUGGCAUUAUUAAGGAAACGCCUGAUUUCAACUAUGCCUAUGAAUAUAAAGUGCUGGUAGAUGUAUUACGGCAAUCACAACAGCCGUUUGAUAAAGAACAAGUGGCUGCGCUGAACGAAGAGUUUAAAAAAAUAGAUCAAAUUCCGGGCGUUGAGAAAACGUCUGUUUAUUAUAAAAUCAAGACCGUUGAUCUGUUAGGCAAAGGUGAUAUCGAUGC